rnacentral:sRNA from 1 species
UGCACUGUCACGCACAAGAGCUGCAGG